AUUGAACGCUGGCGGCAGGCCUAACACAUGCAAGUCGAGCGAGCGGCGGACGGGUGAGUACUAUCUAGGAACCUGCCUGUGGGAGGUGGAUACCUACUGCAAACGGUAACUACUACCGCGUCCCAUCGGAUGUGCGCAGAUGGGAUUAGCUGGUGGGGGGGGUAAUGGCCAACCAAGUCGACGGUCCCUAGCUGGUCUGAGAGGAUGACCAGCCACACUGGAACUGAGACACGGUCCAGACUCCUACGGGAGGCAGCAGUGGGGAAUAUUGGACAAUGGGCGCAAGCCUGAUGCAGCCAUGCCGCGUGUGUGAAGAAGGCCUUCGGGUUGUAAAGCACUUUCAGUGGGGAGGCGUUACCCGCAGAAGAAGCACCGGCUAACUCCGUGCCAGCCGCCGCGGUAAUAC
rnacentral:rRNA from 1 species